UUUUCUUCUUCGUUGUCUUCAUUCAUCAUUCUCUAACUUCUCUCUACAUUCUCUCUCAUUUUUCCUUUACCUUAUUGGUGGCCAAACACCACACCCUUGCUCCACCCUUACACCACCACCUUAACCCACCAUCUCCACCACCGCCGGCCACCUUAUCUCGCCGGAAAAAGGGUCCGGUCGGCCACUCCUUAAAUCCAUCCGAAAAUAGCACAAUAGAAGUACCAACUCUAGAUUUUUCUUAAUCUUUCGAAGAAUCAAAGCAUGGGGUUUAUUUUCUUGAUGGAUUAGAGGCUUGUAAUUGGAUUGGAGGAAGGCGUCUCUACACCUCUUGGGAAUUAAUUUGUAGAGUCUCAAUCUACACUUUUGCGAUUUUUGGAGGAUUGGAGGAAGGCGCCUUACGCCUCUUGGGAAUUAAUUUGUAGAGUCUCAAUCUACACUUUUGCGAUUUUUGGAGAUUCAUGGACUUUUGUGUGGCUCGCCUCAACUUGAAAGACUAGAAUUUUUUUUGAAGGAUCAAAGGUGCGCAUCUUGUUGUUGAGGUUUUGCUUAGGGUCAUUCUAGGAUGUAAGUUUACCUUUUAUUUUUAUUUUUUUUAGGAAGGAGGUUGAUUGUAAAUAAUUGCUCAUGAAGUUGGAUGUAUUGAUGGAUUCGUGAAUAGUAUGUAUUAUUUUUGGGGAGGAAAUGCUUGGGAACUAUCUUGUAGCAUGAUAAUACUUUUUUGUCUUUGAAUAGAUCAUCUCAUACAUGUUGGGCAAUUGAAAGGUCUUAUGCACUUUUGGUGA